GAUUAACGCUGGCGGCGUGCCUAACACAUGCAAGUCGAGCGGCAGCGCGUUUUACACUGAAUUCUGGAAGCUUCUAGUUGAAAGAGAAGAUUUAUUCAAGAAUUUUGUGUAAAAUGUCGGCGAGCGGCGGACGGCUGAGUAACGCGUGGGAACGUACCCCAAAGUGAGGGAUAACGCAUCGAAAGGUGUGCUAAUACCGCAUAUGGUCUUCGGAUUAAAGCCUUCGGGCGCUUUGGGAACGGCCUGCGUAAGAUUAGAUAGUUGGUGGGGUAAUGGCCUACCAAGUCGACGAUCUUUAACUGGUUUGAGAGGAUGAUCAGUCAGACUGGAACUGAGACACGGUCCAGACUCCUACGGGAGGCAGCAGUGAGGAAUCUUCCACAAUGGGCGAAGGCCUGAUGGAGCAACGCCGCGUGCAGGAUGAAGGCCUUCGGGUUGUAAACUGCUUUUAUAAGUGAGGAUUAUGACAGUAACUUAUGAAUAAGGAUCGGCUAACUACGUG
rnacentral:rRNA from 1 species